GACGAACGCUGGCGGCGUGCUUAACACAUGCAAGUCGAACGGAAAGGCCCUGCUUUUGUGGGGUGCUCGAGUGGCGAACGGGUGAGUAACACGUGAGUAACCUGCCCUUGACUGUGGGAUAACUUCAGGAAACUGGGGCUAAUACCGGAUAGGAGCUCCUGCUGCAUGGUGGGGGUUGGAAAGUUUCGGCGGUUGGGGAUGGACUCGGGGCUUAUCAGCUUGUUGGUGGGGUAGUGGCUUACCAAGGCUUUGACGGGUAGCCGGCCUGAGAGGGUGACCGGCCACAUUGGGACUGAGAUACGGCCCAGAGUCCUACGGGAGGCAGCAGUGGGGAAUAUUGCACAAUGGGCGGAAGCCUGAUGCAGCAACGCCGCGUGCGGGAUGACGGCCUUCGGGUUGUAAACCGCUUUCGCCUGUGACGAAGCGUGAGUGACGGUAAUGGGUAAAGAAGCACCGGCUAACUACGUG
rnacentral:rRNA from 1 species